AUUGAACGCUGGCGGCAGGCCUAACACAUGCAAGUCGAACGGUAACAGGAAGCAGCUUGCUGCUUUGCUGACGAGUGGCGGACGUGUGAGUAAUGUCUGGGAAACUGCCCGAUGGAGGGGGAUAACUACUGGAAACGGUAGCUAAUACCGCAUAACGUCGCAAGACCAAAGAGGGGGACCUUAGGGCCUCUUGCCAUCGGAUGUGCCCAGAUGGGAUUAGCUAGUAGGAGGGGUAACGGCUCACCUAGGCGACGAUCCCUAGCUGGUCUGAGAGGAUGACCAGCCACACUGGAACUGAGACACGGUCCAGACUCCUACGGGAGGCAGCAGUGGGGAAUAUUGCACAAUGGGCGCAAGCCUGAUGCAGCCAUGCCGCGUGUAUGAAGAAGGCCUUCGGGUUGUAAAGUACUUUCAGCGGGGAGGAAGGGAGUAAAGUUAAUACCUUUGCUCAUUGACGUUACCCGAAGAAGAAGCACCGGCUAACUCCGUG
rnacentral:rRNA from 1 species